rnacentral:lncRNA from 1 species
CAGUUAAGAGCUAAAACAAUCCCAGAGAACAACAUCAUCAUCCACCCCCAAACAUUCCACAGCCUCAAGUGCUUCAAAUUCUUUUGUGGUGAGCUGCCAAGCUUGACCUUUUGUGGUGAGCUGCCAAGCUUGACUUUUGAGCCAGCCGCAAUGCCGCAGCUACAGAGACUGGAGAUACUACUUGCUCUGGGACAAGGUGCAAUGGAACUGCAAGAACGCAGUCUAGUUGGUGGCAUCGAGCACCUUGCUAGCCUCGAAAAGAUCUUCUUGUAUAUAUGUGUCAAAUGCGGUCAGGGGUCCAAAAUAGAAUCUGCAUGGAGAGCCGCCAUCAGCAGGCACCCGAAAAGUGAAGCCCUACAGAUUUAUGUGAACUGUGCAGAGUAUGACGAAAAUGGAAAAUUGGUAUGAAUAAACAGAGAUACUGUUGCAGGGAUUAUUGGAAACAAGGAGAAGAGCCGAGAAGAGCCGGACCUACAAAUAUAAAUCCUGGCUUCUGACGACGCUUGGGCACCGGGAUGGCGGGAUCUGGGGCCGGGUCACACGCAACCUGGGCACUAGGCAGUAGUGGGCAUCGGCCAGCAGGGCAGCGGCAACGGACGACGAGGUCGCGGACACCGUCGAGCAUGGCCGCGCUUGCAACAGGGGAGUUCGGGAUGCGGCGCCGGGACCAGGAGACGGCGAGAGCAACCGACGCCGCCUCGGGUGGGAGAGUCAUGCGGGGGCUUGCUGGGCCUUUUCGAGAGCAUGUUACUGGUUUCCUUACAAAUUUUAGCCAGUUAAAAUUAUUUUAGAUAUUCUAGGGUGAGUAGCGGAACUAAACUGUUUUAGUCAGUGUAUUUCGAAGUUUAGUAAGGCUAAUUUCAAUAAUGAGUUUCACCUUCAAAUUUCCAACACACGAAACAUUGAUA